rnacentral:rRNA from 1 species
GGUCAAGGAUGGACUCGCGGCCUAUCAGCUAGUUGGUGAGGUAAUGGCUCACCAAGGCGACGACGGGUAGCCGGCCUGAGAGGGUGACCGGCCACACUGGGACUGAGACACGGCCCAGACUCCUACGGGAGGCAGCAGUGGGGAAUAUUGCACAAUGGGCGAAAGCCUGAUGCAGCAACGCCGCGUGAGGGAUGACGGCCUUCGGGUUGUAAACCUCUUUUAGUAGGGAAGAAGCGAAAGUGACGGUACCUGCAGAAAAAGCACCGGCUAACUACGUGCCAGCAGCCGCGGUAAUACGUAGGGUGCAAGCGUUGUCCGGAAUUAUUGGGCGUAAAGAGCUCGUAGGCGGUUUGUCGCGUCUGCUGUGAAAUCUGGGGGCUCAACCCCCAGCCUGCAGUGGGUACGGGCAGACUAGAGUGCGGUAGGGGAGAUUGGAAUUCCUGGUGUAGCGGUGGAAUGCGCAGAUAUCAGGAGGAACACCGAUGGCGAAGGCAGAUCUCUGGGCCGUAACUGACGCUGAGGAGCGAAAGCGUGGGGAGCGAACAGGAUUAGAUACCCUGGUAGUCCACGCCGUAAACGUUGGGAACUAGAUGUGGGGGCCAUUCCACGGUCUCCGUGUCGCAGCUAACGC